rnacentral:misc_RNA from 1 species
GGCAAUUGGGCAAAUUCUCAUGUUUCAUCAUUCUCUGCAAUGGAUCCCUCCUACAGUCUACCAUAUAAUGUUGCAUUAAUCACCCUCCAGACACUUGAAGAUGGAAAUGUUCUCCUCCGGUUGGCUCACCUUUAUGAGGUGGGUGAGGAUAAGGAUCUGUCUGCGAUGGCAAAAGUUGAUCUUAAGAAGAUGUUCCCAGACAAGAAGAUUAACAAAAUAACCGAAGUGAACUUGUCUGCCAAUCAAGAAAGAGCUGU